GUUUGCCUACAACAACAACUACCAGUCGAGUAUUCAGAUGUUUCUUCACCUCGCGCCCAAACGAUUUAGCGACUCCUAUUCUAAGAAAACUAGCACCUUAGAAGACUUCAGAAAAUCGCCUCCUCUUCGUUUCCUCAUCUCUCACUCGUCAGGUUCUGUCUCGCUGGCGAGCUGGUCAUAUCCGACGAGAACAUUUUGUUGCUACAUUUGUUUUGUUUUGAUUUGCGGUCUUUGAGUAUGAGAGCAGAUUUAAGUCAAGGUUGAUUUGAGUUCGUCGUUGGUGAUAGAUUUCCGGUGCCGAUUCGAGUUUUCAUCCACAAUUUGUCAUUCAAGACUGCGAUACAAUCAAAUUUUAGAUUUAACGAGGAAUUUGUCUAUUCCUUGGACUGAUGGUAGAUAGGCUACACCAUUACAUAAGGGAUCUUUGCUUACUUAGGAAGACGAUGGAAGCUGUAAAGAAGCAUACUACGCGAUCUUCUCCACGCCAAAGAACUCACAACCACUGAUUUUUCUUCAAAAGACACAGACACACACACAAUUGUUCGACUCUAAGAAACUGCUAACCAAUCAAUUGAUGAUAUCAUGAGUAUUUAAACAAAUUCCUUCUCAUUUCCUAAUUGACUUUCCUCAUUCCUAAAUCCAUCUUCUCAUUUCUUUGGCCUACACUUUUAAGUCUGAACCAUGGGUGGUGAUAACACUGAGAAGUACAAUUCUAGUUCAGCAUUUAUUGCUGAGAUAGGGUCUCCAAAUUGCUGAAACAUCGUAGGCUUCGAGCUCUCGAAUUACAGUUAUGCUAGGACACAGCGGUCAGUUCGGAUAGAAUUUCGAUUUGGGUUCAAGAGAUUCGAGUUUUCUGGCAAGUUUCGAGGUCGUCGAAGGUUGUAGUCCGAUGUUUCCGGGCAGAUUCGCGGUUCUAUCGCAAUAUUAUUUUGGAACUCUGUUCUUUUUCUUCAAGGUAUGGAGCAAUUUGCUAGAGUUUGAGCAUGACAAAUACCCCAGGACCAUUCUAGUCAGGACCAUUGUAUGCACGAGCUGCUUGAGGAAUUUUUUUUUUAUUUUUUAGUCUAUUUUAUGUUGUCCUUUAAUUUUUAGUCUUGUACAAUAGUAUCGAGUCUGUCAAUCUAGUAAAGAUUGUCGAGUCUUUUGUUAUAGUACUCCCUGUUUUGUAUUUGAAAACCC